rnacentral:tRNA from 1 species
AGAUGAGCAGGCGGUCCGGGAGCACCUCGACCCUUCCCAGGUCGUCGACCUUCUCUGCCAGGGCGCGCAGGUCGUCCGAGGCGAACCUCAGCUC